rnacentral:rRNA from 1 species
UGGGGAAUCUUGGACAAUGGGCGCAAGCCUGAUCCAGCCAUGCCGCGUGAGUGAAGAAGGCCUUCGGGUUGUAAAGCUCUUUUACCAGGGACGAUAAUGACGGUACCUGGAGAAUAAGCCCCGGCAAACUUCGUGCCAGCAGCCGCGGUAAUACGAAGGGGGCUAGCGUUGUUCGGAAUUACUGGGCGUAAAGCGCACGUAGGCGGAUAUUUAAGUCAGGGGUGAAAUCCCGGAGCUCAACUUCGGAACUGCCCUUGAUACAGCACGUCUUGAGUCCGAUAGAGGUGGGUGGAAUUCCUAGUGUAGAGGUGAAAUUCGUAGAUAUUAGGAAGAACACCGGUGGCGAAGGCGGCCCACUGGAUCGGUACUGACGCUGAGGUGCGAAAGCGUGGGGAGCAAACAGGAUUAGAUACCCAGGUAGUCCCUGAGCGGGC